rnacentral:rRNA from 1 species
AUACGGAGGAUCCGAGCGUUAUCCGGAUUUAUUGGGUUUAAAGGGAGCGUAGGCGGGAGAUCAAGUCAGCUGUGAAAUGUAGAUGCUCAACAUCUGCACUGCAGUUGAAACUGGUUUUCUUGAGUGCGUAAGGGGCAGGCGGAAUUCGUCGUGUAGCGGUGAAAUGCUUAGAUAUGACGAAGAACUCCGAUCGCGAAGGCGGCUUGCGGGGCCGCGACUGACGCUGAAGCUCGAAGGUGCGGGUAUCGAACAGGAUUAGAUACCCUGGUAGUCCGCACAGUAAACGAUGGAUACUCGCUGUCGGCGAUAUACGGUCGGUGGCCAAGCGAAAGCGUUAAGUAUCCCACCUGGGGAGUACGCCGGCAACGGUGAAACUCAAAGGAAUUGACGGGG